GAUGAACGCUAGCGGCAGGCCUAAUACAUGCAAGUCGAGGGGCAGCACAGGUAGCAAUACCGGGUGGCGACCGGCAAACGGGUGCGGAACACGUACGCAACCUUCCUUCAAGCGGGGAAUAGCCCAGAGAAAUUUGGAUUAAUACCCCAUAAGAAUGUGGACUGGCAUCAGUCAGCAUUUAAAGAUUUAUCACUUGAAGAUGGGCGUGCGUCUGAUUAGGUAGUUGGUGAGGUAACGGCUCACCAAGCCAACGAUCAGUAACUGGCGUGAGAGCGCGACCAGUCACACGGGCACUGAGACACGGGCCCGACUCCUACGGGAGGCAGCAGUAAGGAAUAUUGGUCAAUGGACGAAAGUCUGAACCAGCCAUGCCGCGUGGAGGAUGAAGGCCCUCUGGGUUGUAAACUUCUUUUAUCUGGGACGAAACACUUCC
rnacentral:rRNA from 1 species